AUAUAUAUUUUUAAUAUUGUUAAUUAAAAAAAUUAAAAUAUAUCAUGCAAUAUUUCAAUUUUCCAUACGAUUUCGAUUAUCGAAAUAAUAUCGAUAGGAUCGAUAUAAUCGAGUUCCGUUACCAGCCAAUGAGAGAGCUUCUUGGCGAAAUUUGGCGCGCAGCGUCAGUCUUCAGUGGAAAGUGAACAAGUGAGGACGUGUGACCGCUGCCGGCUUGGAAAAUUCUACUGCGCAAUUAUUACCAGAUUAUUACUGGGCCGAUAUAUUGGUCGGGAAGGCGGGAAAAAUUCCAACAUGGACGCCAUUGUACUUUUUCAAAGAGAAAAGUAUGAUUUUUCGCUCGUGCAUUAGAAUUUUUGUGAUCGCGCGCAAUGCGAUCGGUAGAUUCAGUGUUUGCUUCGUAAUAGUUUUUUAGAGUAUUUAGAGCACAAUAGCUCUAAUUAAAUUACUAUAAUUAUUCGCGAAACUAGAGUCAGUGCUUGUUCGCCGCUUCUAUUUGAAAUCGACGCGUUAGUAGUUUUUUAUUUUUAUUUUUUUUAUUUUUUUGAAAUUUUAUUCGUUUUCGGUACAGGGUAGAAUCAGUGUUCCUCGAGGAAUAGGGCGGUCAUCCAUCACGCGAAGAGUUCUCCCUUCCUCGUGAUGACUAUUUGGCGAUGACAUCUUGGGCCACGACAAUGCAGAUUCUUCGCAUCUAUUGUUUCAGAAUUAGCUUUUUCUUGAGAUUCGCAACAACCCUCCAAGUUGGAUCGAUAUAAUCGAGUUCCGUUACCAGCCAAUGAGAGAGCUUCUUGGCGAAAUUUGGCGCGCAGCGUCAGUCUUCAGUGGAAAGUGAACAAGUGAGGACGUGUGACCGCUGCCGGCUUGGAAAAUUCUACUGCGCAAUUAUUACCAGAUUAUUACUGGGCCGAUAUAUUGGUCGGGAAGGCGGGAAAAAUUCCAACAUGGACGCCAUUGUACUUUUUCAAAGAGAAAAGUAUGAUUUUUCGCUCGUGCAUUUUUCAGAAUUAGCUUUUUCUUGAGAUUCGCAACAACCCUCCAAGUUGGAUCGAUAUAAUCGAGUUCCGUUACCAGCCAAUGAGAGAGCUUCUUGGCGAAAUUUGGCGCGCAGCGUCAGUCUUCAGUGGAAAGUGAACAAGUGAGGACGUGUGACCGCUGCCGGCUUGGAAAAUUCUACUGCGCAAUUAUUACCAGAUUAUUACUGGGCCGAUAUAUUGGUCGGGAAGGCGGGAAAAAUUCCAACAUGGACGCCAUUGUACUUUUUCAAAGAGAAAAGUAUGAUUUUUCGCUCGUGCAUUAGAAUUUUUGUGAUCGCGCGCAAUGCGAUCGGUAGAUUCAGUGUUUGCUUCGUAAUAGUUUUUUAGAGUAUUUAGAGCACAAUAGCUCUAAUUAAAUUACUAUAAUUAUUCGCGAAACUAGAGUCAGUGCUUGUUCGCCGCUUCUAUUUGAAAUCGACGCGUUAGUAGUUUUUUAUUUUUAUUUUUUUUAUUUUUUUGAAAUUUUAUUCGUUUUCGGUACAGGGUAGAAUCAGUGUUCCUCGAGGAAUAGGGCGGUCAUCCAUCACGCGAAGAGUUCUCCCUUCCUCGUGAUGACUAUUUGGCGAUGACAUCUUGGGCCACGACAAUGCAGAUUCUUCGCAUCUAUUGUUUCAGAAUUAGCUUUUUCUUGAGAUUCGCAACAACCCUCCAAGUUGGAUCGAUAUAAUCGAGUUCCGUUACCAGCCAAUGAGAGAGCUUCUUGGCGAAAUUUGGCGCGCAGCGUCAGUCUUCAGUGGAAAGUGAACAAGUGAGGACGUGUGACCGCUGCCGGCUUGGAAAAUUCUACUGCGCAAUUAUUACCAGAUUAUUACUGGGCCGAUAUAUUGGUCGGGAAGGCGGGAAAAAUUCCAACAUGGACGCCAUUGUACUUUUUCAAAGAGAAAAGUAUGAUUUUUCGCUCGUGCAUUGUAUGUAUUUAUUCUUUAUUCAUUCGAUCGUUAUUAUUUGAUAUACUUUGUCAUUACGUAAACGUGUAUUUUAUCCUAUAUGUAUAAUGAACAUUCAUCAUAAUUAUUAAUAGUUUUGCAUUAAAUUUGAUAUGAUCGUUCCAUUUUAAAUGUUUUUAUUCAUGAAAAAAAAUGGAUAAUAAUCGAUUCAGAGUUUUAAUAAAAACGUUAAUUCUUUCCGAAACAAAUGUUGGAUAGAAAGAAAAAAUAUUUUGCUUCUUUUUCUAUAGAUUCCACGCGCCCCCCUCCCACUCAUUACUAAUACAACUUUAUUUCCAGAGAAUUUUUGUGAUCGCGCGCAAUGCGAUCGGUAGAUUCAGUGUUUGCUUCGUAAUAGUUUUUUAGAGUAUUUAGAGCACAAUAGCUCUAAUUAAAUUACUAUAAUUAUUCGCGAAACUAGAGUCAGUGCUUGUUCGCCGCUUCUAUUUGAAAUCGACGCGUUAGUAGUUUUUAUUUUUAUUUUUUUAUUUUUUGAAAUUUUAUUCGUUUUCGGUACAGGGUAGAAUCAGUGUUCCUCGAGGAAUAGGGCGGUCAUCCAUCACGCGAAGAGUUCUCCCUUCCUCGUGAUGACUAUUUGGCGAUGACAUCUUGGGCCACGACAAUGCAGAUUCUUCGCAUCUAUUGGUGAGUCGCAUGCAUUUAUGUUCCUCCGGUCAUUCAAUCAUGUCGUAGGACGAAAGGUCCGUAUCGACACGGAUGACUGGUUGUAUACGUAGAAUUUUGCACGAGCACAGUGACCACGGGUAUUUAUUAUACUCGUGAAUAGUAACAUUUUUCUUGUAUUUUAUUUAUUAGAUCAGGAUAGAUCUUCUUGCACGUCGCGUUUUUGUAAAGAUGAUAUUGAUAGUUAAUUUUAAUAUUAAACAACACGUUAAUUAUGAAUAUAUAGAAUGAUAUGAAUAAUUAGUAGUUUGAUUGAUCUAUGAUUGAUUUAUUUAUUUUCUCUACGAUUAUUUGUAAAAUGAAUGAACAUAUAUUUAUGAAUAUUGUUACAAAUAUUAUUUACGAAUAAAAAUUAAGAUUCAAAUAAGUGAGAAAUAAUGAAAUGAAUUCAAAAUUGUGAAGAAGUCGGAUACCAUCCGACUUCGUUACAAUAUCAAUAUAAAAAUAUGAAUUAUUACACAAUUAUACAAUAAUACAAUUGAUAGUGGAUAUUAUCGUUAUGGUGUAUGGUUAUAGAUAUGGUAAUAAACAAUUUAUAUAAUAAUUUUAUUUUUUUCCAUUUCAUCGUAAUAUUUAAUUACUUGAUAUUUAUUUUUAAACUUAAGUAUGAUUCUAAAUGUAAAAAUAUUUAUUUUUUCCGUAAGAGAAUAUGUGAAAUAUUACGUGCAAGAAGAUACUUCGCGACAGGUAGAUUUCUGAAUCUAAACAAGAAGUUUUUGCGCUAGUUUUAUGUUUUCGAAAACAUGUUUGGAUAAAGAGAUCGCCUGAGGUUAUUUUCAUUGAAAUUCUUUUUAGAGUCAAUUAUUUUCUAUUAUUAAUUGUCAUACGUAAAUUUAAUAUAGUCAAUUUUUAUAAUAUAUCAAAAAUAAAUUUCUUCUUUAUUCUAUAUUUCAAUAUUUUUGCUUGCUAAAAUUAAUAAGAAAAUUCAUAAAGUUUACAAAGAGAAUUUAUUAAAGUUUGAAAUAAAGCAAAUGAGCAAAUCUAAGAGAGUGAGAAAGUGAGAAAA